rnacentral:rRNA from 1 species
CGUUUUCCGCGUUGGACCGUGUAUAAGUCCCUUGGAACAGGGCGUCACAGAGGGUGAGAAUCCCGUCUUUGACACGGACUGCCAAUGCUUUGUGACUGCGCUCUCAAAGAGUCGAGUUGUUUGGGAAUGCAGCUCAAAAUGGGUGGUAAAUUCCUUCUAAAGCUAAAUAUUGGCGAGAGACCGAUAGCGAACAAGUACCGUGAGGGAAAGAUGAAAAGCACUUUGGAAAGAGAGUUAAACAGUACGUGAAAUUGUUAAAAGGGAAACGAUUGAAGUCAGUCGCGUUUACCUUGGACUCAGCCUUACCUCGGUUUGGUGCACUUUCCUUGUGAACGGGCCAGCGUCACUGUUGUCCGUUGGAAAAGGGUUGGAGGAACUGUGGCAUCUUUCGGGAGUGUUAUAGUGUCUGAUUGUAUACUGUGAUUGGGACUGA